UUUAAUCAUGCUAUUAAUUAAUUCCAAACAGAUAAUGCAUAAGAUUACUCGACUUCAAAAAAAAAAAAAAAAAGAUUACUCGACUUCUGGAAUGACACAAGGCAUGGAAUAGUAAGCUAUGUUACGGUGAGACUCUCUUCUUCCUGGAUCUUGUGGAUCUGUUAUAUCAGAAGGUCAGUAGCAGUGCUAUUUCUAUUGGAGAAUUUUCAUUUAAACAGAUUAACAUAUUUGAAAAAUUUCUUUCAAUAAUGACACAAAACAUAAAUAUAAAAAUCUGUAUUUAUUAUAGGUAGCAUAAAACAUUUUUUUGCGUCAAUUAUUGUUGUGAUUUAGGCUGAAUAAUGCCAGCUAUUUUGCUACUGUGCUGAAGUCCUCUUUUUUGAGCCUACAAUGAACCUGUAAUACUUAUGGAAAGAGUUACCAUAGCAACCUAUAUUGAUGUCACAAGCUCAGGCUUCUGACUUCAUUGCAUAAUGCAGUAGCAACUGGAUUUGCAGCAGAAACACCCUGCUAAAGAACAAGUAUCUUGGUUCACAGCAAAGAGGACAAAGGAAAACAGCAAGUUAUAGGGAGUUGAAUGCUGGAUUGUCAUCAGAGCCUGUGUGGCACUGCCCACAAGUCCUUGGUGGGUUCUGGAGCUGUCCAAGGUUCCAAAGUUCCAGGGAGGGAGCCUGCAGCAGUCAGAGGGCUCUGGGCUCUGCUUCAACUCAGUACUGUGAGGAGCAUAAGGACAUCAUGACAUCUGGACUAACAUCCUACAGAAUUGUAGAGAAGGUCAAAUAUAAAACACAAGCAACUAUAUAUGAAAAGUGUUAUGUUUUUAUCUCCCCAAUGCUUGGAUUUUUAUUUAACAUUACAAAUAUUUUCUGAGGGAUGCGUGGGUGGCUCAGUGGUUGAGCAUCUGCCUUCAGCUCAGAGCAUGAUCCUGUGAUCCCAGGAACAAGUCCCACAUCAGGCUCCCUGCAUAGAGCCUGCUUCUCCCUCUGCCUCUGCCUCUCUCUGUGUGUCUCAUAAAUAAAUAAAUAAAUAAAAUAUUAAAAAAAAAAAAACAAAUAUUUUCUGAACAGAUCUACCAACCUAGAAAAUGUUAGUGAUCAAGAACUCUUUAAAGAAUACUGACUGUUUCAUUUAAUAUACCAAAAACUAAAAACACAAUCAUC
rnacentral:lncRNA from 1 species